UGUAUUUUUCUUUCACAUAGAAGUUGAUCAACUUCUCAUAGUUAGGGUUGUCAAAUGUGGCUCUCAAAUUUCCAGGAGAGAAUAGUUUUCCUUCACCAACUUCUGUUGUCUCCUUGACAAGUUGCCAUUUUCCUUCGUCUAGAAGAAGGAACUCGUGGGUUCCAGGGUAGUCUUUAAGAGCAAGAACAUAUGUAGUUCUUGGACCAUAAACUCCCAUCGCUGCUGCAACCUGGUCUCUUCCUGUCACUCCUGUUAGUUUAUCUCCUGGCCACACUCCAAAGAUGGUGCCCACAGAGAAAUUUGUGUCUACAAUACUUGAGCCAUCAAGUGGAUCAAAAGCAACACUAAAUCCACCUUCAGCUGGGCCUCCCAUGUCUUGCAGUUCAGGAACUUCUUCAGAGCAACCAUAUUUGCAGAAGUGUGAGUAAGUCAAGGCCUCGAAAAGGAGCUUGUUUGCAAUCAUAUCAACAGCAAGCUGCUCAUCUCCAAAGGAAUUGUGCUGUUCCUCCACAAGAAGCUGUCCUGACCUUGAAUGCGAUGGUUCUCAAUGCCUCUCCCAUGC
rnacentral:misc_RNA from 1 species